rnacentral:rRNA from 2 species
CGGUUGAUCCUGCCGGAGGCUACUGCUCUUGGGGUUCGAUUAAGCCAUGCGAGCGGAGGGCAGUUCGGCUGCCCCGCAGACGGCUCAGUAACACGUAGUCAAUCUACCCUUGGGACGGGGACAACCCCGGGAAACUGGGGAUAAUCCCCGAUAGGUGAGGGGUACUGGAAAAGUCUCUCAUUGAAAACUCUGGUGCCCAAGGACGAGACUGCGGCCCAUCAGGUAGUUGGUAGGGUAACGGCCUACCAAGCCGAUAACGGGUACGGGCUGUGAGAGCAGGAGCCCGGAGAUGGGGACUGAGACAAGGCCCCAGGCCCUACGGGGCGCAGCAGGUGCGGAACCUCCGCAAUGCGUGCAAGCGUGACGGGGGAACCCCAAGUGCCGAUGGUCUAACGACUGUCGGCUUUUCAAGAGUGUAAAAAGCUCUUGGAAUAAGGGCUGGGUAAGACAGGUGCCAGCCGCCGCGGUAACACCUGCAGCUCGAGUGGUAGCCGAUUUUAUUGGGCCUAAAGCAUCCGUAGCCGGGCUGACAAGUCCUUUGUGAAAUCGGGCGGCUUAACCGUUCGGCUUGCAAGGGAAACUGUCGGUCUUGAGGCCGGGAGACGCUGAGGGUACCUCGGGGGUAGCGGUGAAAUGCUGUAAUCCUCGGGGGACCACCAAUGGCGAAGGCACUCAGCGAGAACGGACCUGACGGUGAGGGAUGAAGGCUGGGGGAGCGAACCGGAUUAGAUACCCGGGUAGUCCCAGCUGUAAAGUAUGCAGACCAGGUGCUGGGUGUCCCUCGAGGGCACUCGGUGCCGUAGGGAAGCCGUUAAGUCUGCCGCCUGGGGAGUACGGUCGCAAGGCUGAAACUUAAAGGAAUUGGCGGGGGAGCAC